UACGUAGGGGGCAAGCGUUGUCCGGAUUUAUUGGGCGUAAAGAGCGUGUAGGCGGCUUUGCAAGUCCGUUGUGAAAACUCGAGGCUCAACCUCGAGACGCCGGUGGAAACUGCAAAGCUAGAGUCCGGAAGAGGAGAGUGGAAUUCCUGGUGUAGCGGUGAAAUGCGCAGAUAUCAGGAGGAACACCGAUGGCGAAGGCAGGUCUCUGGGCCACUACUGACGCUGAGAAGCGAAAGCAUGGGGAGCGAACAGG
rnacentral:rRNA from 1 species